ensembl:snRNA U6 U6 spliceosomal RNA
GUGCUCACUUCAGCAGGACGUAUAUUAAAAUUUGAAUGAUACACAGGUUAGCAUGGCCUCUGCACAUGGAUGGCACAAAUUUUUGAAGCAUUCCGUAUUUUU